rnacentral:rRNA from 1 species
GCCGGAGGGAAACCGAGUCUUAAUUGGGCGUUAAGUUGCAGGGUAUAGACCCGAAACCCGGUGAUCUAGCCAUGGGCAGGUUGAAGGUUGGGUAACACUAACUGGAGGACCGAACCGACUAAUGUUGAAAAAUUAGCGGAUGACCUGUGGCUGGGGGUGAAAGGCCAAUCAAACCGGGAGAUAGCUGGUUCUCCCCGAAAGCUAUUUAGGUAGCGCCUCGUGAAUUCAUCUCCGGGGGUAGAGCACUGUUUCGGCUAGGGGGCCAUCCCGGCUUACCAACCCGAUGCAAACUGCGAAUACCGGAGAAUGUUAUCACGGGAGACACACGGCGGGUGCUAACGUCCGUCGUGAAGAGGGAAACAACCCAGACCGCCAGCUAAGGUCCCAAAGUCAUGGUUAAGUGGGAAACGAUGUGGGAAGGCCCAGACAGCCAGGAUGUUGGCUUAGAAGCAGCCAUCAUUUAAAGAAAGCGUAAUAGCUCACUGGUCGAGUCGGCCUGCGCGGAAGAUGUAACGGGGCUAAACCAUGCACCGAAGCUGCGGCAGCGACACUGUGUGUUGUUGGGUAGGGGAGCGUU